rnacentral:siRNA from 1 species
UCGGGUGCUUCAGAAAUUCCAG